rnacentral:lncRNA from 1 species
UGUGAAUCCAUCUGGUCCAGGUUAGUUGCAAGGGUCUGCUGCUUCACUCCUGAAGUCAGCUAGACCAUGAACCCACCAGGAGGAACAAACUCUGGACACACCAUCUUUAAGAACUGUAACACUCACUGGGAGGAGCCACAGCUUCAUUCUUGAAGUCAGCAAGACCAAGAACCUACCGGAAGUAACCAAUUCCAGAUACAAUGUCAUACUACAUUUCAACAAAC